rfam:Triticum urartu cultivar G1812 contig696509, whole genome shotgun sequence.
CAAAUACUCCCUCCAUCCGAAAAUACUUGUCAUCAAAAUGGAUAAAAAGGGAUGUAUCUAGAACUAACAUACAUCUAGAUACACCCCCCCUUUAUUCAUUUUGAUGACUAGUAUUUCUGGAUGGAGGGAGUAUAAG